GCGUGGCUUGUGGGUAAAAUGGGCGUGGUUUGCUCGGUGGGCGUGGCCUGAGUGGGCGUGUCCCGCAGGAGGAAGAGGAGGAGGAGGAAGAGGAGGAGCGAGGCCAAGGGGGCGGAGCCAAAGCCCCGGGGUUGGGGGGAGGGCGGCGCUACGUCCCGCCCCGGCUGGUGCCCGUCAGCUGCGAUCCGGCUCCGGAUCCCGAAUCCCGAUCCCGCUCCCGGCUCCGGCUCCGGGCUUUGAGCUCGGCCGCGCUCCGGGAGCUGCGCCAGGAGUUGGGGGAGGGGCCCCUGGAGGAGGGGGCGGGGCUGCAGCCCCCGCAGCGCCAGGAGAUCCAGAGGUGCGGAAAAUUCCGGAAAAUCCCGGGGAAAAUCCGGGAAAAAUCCGGGGGAAAUUUGGGAAUUUUUGGGGAAUUUUUGGGAUUUUUUUUGGGAAUUUUUUGAAAUUUUUUGGGAAUUUUUUGGGAUUUUUUUUGGAAUUUUUGGGGGAAUUUUGGGGAAUUUUUUGGGGAUUUUUGGGGAUUUUUUUUGGGAAUUUUGGGGAAAUUUUUGGGAAUUUUUGGGGGAAUUUUGGGGAAAUUUUUGGGAAUUUUGGGGGGAUUUUUUUUGAAAUUUUUUGGGAAUUUUUAGGGAAUUUUUUGGAAUUUUUGGGGAUUUUUUAUGGGAAUUUUGGGGAAUUUUUUGGGGAAAUUUUUGGGGAAAUUUUGGGAUUUUUGGGGGAUUUUUUUGGAAUUUAUAGGGAAUUUUUGGGAUUUUUUUUUGAAAUUUUUUGGGGAAAUUUUGGGAUUUUUUUGGGGUUUUUUUUUAAAUUUUUUUGGGAUUUUUUGGGAAUUUUUGUGGAAUUUGGGGGAAUUUUUUGGGGAAUUUUUUGGGGAAAUUUUGGGAUUUUUGGGGGAUUUUUUUUGAAAUUUUUUUGGGUUUUUUUGGGAAUUUUGGGGGGAAUUUUUGGGAAUUUUUUGGGAAUUUUUGGGAUUUUUUUUUUAAAUUUUUUGGGGAAUUUUGGGGGAAUUUUGGGGGAUUUUUUUUGGGAUUUUUUUGGGAUUUUUUUGGAAUUUUUGGGGAUUUUUUGGGGAAUUUUUGAGAAUAUUUGGAACUUUUUUGGGAAUUUUUGGGGCAAUUUUGGGAAUUUUUUUGGAUUUGUUUUGAAAUUUUUUGGGGGUUUUUUGGGAAUUUUUUAGGGAAUUUUUGGGAAUUUUUUGGAAAUUUUGGGGGAUUUUUUUGGGGAAUUUUUGGGAAUUUUUUACGAUUUUUUGGGAUUUUUUGGGGAAUUUUUGAAGAAAUUUUGGGAUUUUGGGGGAUUUUUUUUGAAAUUUUUUGGGGUUUUUUUGGGAAUUUUUUGUGAAUUUUUUGAGAAUUUUGGGGGAUUUUUUUGGGGAAUUUUUUGAAAUUUUUUACGAUUUUUUGGGAUUUUUUUGGGGAAUUUUUUGGGAUUUUUUGAAAAAUUUUUGGGGAAUUUUUGGGAUUUUAUUUUGAAAUUCUUCGGGGGUUUUUUGGGAUUUUUUUGGGAAAGUUUUUGGAAAUUUUGGGGGAUUUUUUUCAGAAUUUUUUGGGAAUUGUUGGAACUUUGGGGGAAAAUUUGGGAUUUUUUUUGCUUUUUUUUUUUGAAAUUUUUUGGGAUUUUUGGGGCAUUUUUUGGGGAAUUUUUGGGAAUUUUUUGGGAAUUUUUAGGGAUUUUUUUGGGGAAUUUUGGGGUUUUUUGGGAUUUCUUUUGGAAUUUUUGGGGGAUGUUUCAGGAAUUUUUGGGGAAUUUUUGAGGGGGAAUUCUUGCGAAUUUUGGGGAAAAUUUUGGGAAUUUUGGGGGGAUUUUUUUGGAGGAAUUUUGUGGGAUUUUUUGGGGAAUUUUGGGAUUUUUUUGGAAUUUUUGGGGAAUUUUUGGGACUUUUUUGGGAAUUUUUUUUAUUUUUUGGGGAAUUUUUUGGGAAUUUUUGGGAAUUUUUUGGGGGAAUUUUUGAGAAUUUUUGGAACUUUUUUUGGGGAAUUUUGGGGGAAAUUUUUGGGAUUUUUUGGGAAUUUUUGGGAAUUUUUGAGGAAUUUUUAAGAAUUUUUAGGGGGAUUUUUGGGGGAUUUUUGGGUCAAUUUUGAUCCAAAUUUGGUCAAUUUUGGGUCAAUUUUUACCGAAUUUGGGUCAUUUCGGGUCAAUUCCACCCUCCCGGAUCAGAAUUUGGGGGUUUGGAGUCG
rnacentral:lncRNA from 1 species